rnacentral:antisense_RNA from 1 species
CCGAAACGGUUGACGCUGCAUCGUCCAGCAGGUCGGCUUCGCCGAAAUACUCGCCAUCGCCCAGCAGGGCUAUGCGCAACUCUUCGCCAUGGGGCCCCUUGCUGAUUACUUCGGCCUGGCCGCUGGCCACGAUGAAGAACUUCUGCUUGUCCUUGCCUUCUUCCACGAAAAGUUUGCCAAUCUCUACCUCGCUGGUUUCGAACGAGCUUGCCAAGCGGUUCACAAUCUCAUCGUCGAAUUCUGAGAAUAGUGGAAUCUGCUUCAGACUCUUAGCCGAGAACGAGGGCUGGCCAUUCUGAUACAGAAUCUGAAGGCGAUCGGACUUCUGGAGCUCCACCUUCGUGCGGUUCACGCGGAACGUGCCUCCGCUCACCUGCACCCAGGGCAACAGCUUGAGCAGCAGCCGUGGAGUUAUGGAGCCCAUCUGGGGGGCGGUCUUGGUGGUGGUGGCCAGCCUUCUGGCCGUUGCAGUGGUC